CCCUUAGAUGUUCUGGGCUGCACGCGCGCUACACUGAAGCUAUCAACACGUUUUCCCUCCCUGAGAAGGGCGGGUAACCUUUUGAAUCAGCUUCGUGGUAGGGAUCGGGGCUUGCAAUUGUUCCCCGUGAACCAGGAAUUCCUAGUAGACGCGAGUCAUAAGCUCGCAUCUAUUAAGUCCCUGCCCUUUGUACACACCGCCCGUCGCUACUACCGAUUGAACGUUUUAGUGAGGCAUUUGGACCGACGCAUCUCAGUUUAACCGCUGGUUUGUGUUGGAAAGACUUCCAAACUUGAGCGUUUAGAGGAAGUAAAAGUCGUAACA
rnacentral:rRNA from 1 species